CAGUAGCCGCGGGAAAACGUAGGCAGCAAGCGUUGUUCGGAGUUACUGGGCGUAAAGGGUGCGUAGGCGGCUCUAUAAGUAUGGUGUGAAAUCUCCCGGCUCAACUGGGAGGGUGCGCCGUAGACUGUGGGGCUAGAGUGUGGGAGAGGAAAGUGGAAUUCCUGGUGUAGCAGUGAAAUGCGUAGAUAUCAGGAGGAACACCGGUGGUGUAAACGGCUUUCUGGACCAUAACUGACGCUGAGGCACGAAGGCGUGGGUAGCAAACAGGAUUAGAUACCCCCGUAGUCCCUGUCUCUUAUAC
rnacentral:rRNA from 1 species